rnacentral:rRNA from 1 species
GAGUUUGAUUCUGGCUCAGAUUGAACGCUGGCGGCAUGCUUUACACAUGCAAGUCGAACGGCAGCACGGAAGAGCUUGCUCUUUUGGUGGCGAGUGGCGAACGGGUGAGUAAUACAUCGGAACGUACCGAGUAGUGGGGGAUAACUGUCCGAAAGGAUGGCUAAUACCGCAUAUUCUCUGAGGAGGAAAGCAGGGGACCUUCGGGCCUUGCGCUAUUUGAGCGGCCGAUGUCUGAUUAGCUAGUUGGUGGGGUAAAGGCCUACCAAGGCGACGAUCAGUAGCGGGUCUGAGAGGAUGAUCCGCCACACUGGGACUGAGACACGGCCCAGACUCCUACGGGAGGCAGCAGUGGGGAAUUUUGGACAAUGGGGGGAACCCUGAUCCAGCCAUGCCGCGUGUCUGAAGAAGGCCUUCGGGUUGUAAAGGACUUUUGUCAGGGAAGAAAAGCUUGAGGUUAAUACCCUUGGGUGAUGACG